UACGAGAGGCCCAAACGUUAUUCGGAAUUACUGGGCUUAAAGAGUUCGUAGGCGGCAUUACAAGUAGGGUGUGAAAGCCCUCGGCUCAACCGAGGAAUUGCGCUCUAAACUGUCGUGCUAGAGGAACCUAGAGGUGAGCAGAACAGAUGGUGGAGCGGUGAAAUGCGUAGAUAUUGGGAGGAACACCAGUGGCGAAGGCGGCUACCUGGACCGGUUCUGACGCUGAUGCGCGAAAGCGUGGGUAGCAAACAGG
rnacentral:rRNA from 1 species